rnacentral:misc_RNA from 1 species
GAUGAAGAACGUAGCGAAAUGCGAUAAGUAAUGUGAAUUGCAGAAUUCAGUGAAUCAUCGAAUCUUUGAACGCACAUUGCGCCCCCUGGUAUUCCGGGGGGCAUGCCUGUCCGAGCGUCAUUACAACCCUCAAGCUCAGCUCGGUGUUGGGCCCCGCCGCCCCGGCGGGCCCUAAAGUCAGUGGCGGUGCCGUCCGGCUCCGAGCGUAGUAAUUCUUCUCGCUCUGGAGGUCCGGUCGUGUGCUCGCCAGCAACCCCCAAUUUUUUUCAGGUUGACCUCGGAUCAGGUAGGGAUACCCGCUGAACUUAAGCAUAUCAAUAAGCGGAGGA